rnacentral:lncRNA from 1 species
GGGGAGUCCAGGAGACAGAGGGCACAAGUAGAGAGCCAGGGUGGGUGGGGGACAAGCCCAGAGGGCCGCCCAGCAGACCCAGGCUGCUGGGAGAGUGACACUGAUGAGGAAUCUCCAGGUUCUUGAAACAGCCUCCGCAACUUGCAAGGGUUGGGAUAGGGGCUUCCCGAGGCAGGAUGACGGGGAGCAGGGGCUGCCUGGCAGGGCCAAAGCUCAGGGUCUCUGCUUCCCUCCUGGGUCCUGGUCUCUUGAGUAGAACCAGAAACUUCUAAGUUGGAGCAGUGGGGAGGGGAGCUCAGCCUCCACCCCACCCAGGGGAAAUUAGACCAGACUUCCCAGGAAAUAAUUUCAAUUUUCCAGCAUCAUGGAAGCCUAGUCGGACAAUAGAGGAUUUUUUCCCCCCAAAAAAUUUUUAAAAAAGCACAAAAAAACUCCAAUUGCCUUUGGCUGAGCUGUUUUCCAACUUCAUUUCUCAGCCACAGUUCAAAACUUCUCAUUCAAAGUGACAUGUGACUGCUCUGUGACCCUGGUCCGCUCGGCCACCGGCCCUGUGAGGGGUCAGGCCAGGCCAGCACAGAACUCGAGCUCCCAGAAUCUGUGACCACCCCCACUCCCAAAAGCCUUCCGAGGUCUGCUCUGGAGACAAGGCCCGCAGGACUGUCUCUGGGCAGCCCCAGCGCCUCACAAUGAGGGAGGGGCUGCGGUGGAAACAAACCUGCCUCUGAAAGAGAGGAGAGUUUAGGGGCGGGUGAUUCCUACAGCCCAGGCCCAGGCCCACAGGGGUUUAUGUUACAAUAUAAACUGGGGCUUUAACAACUUUGAGACAGUUUCUUAUUUUUAGGGUUGGGGCGGGGAGUGGAGGUUGUCUUAAGAAUGCAAAUGGGGCAGGGCACAGUGG